UACGAAGAGGGCUAGCGUUGUUCGGAAUUACUGGGCGUAAAGCGCACGUAGGCGGCAUUCCAAGUUGGAGGUGAAAUCCCCGGGCUUAACCUGGGAGCUGCCUCCAAAACUGGGAAGCUCGAGUCCGAGAGAGGUGAGUGGAAUUUCCAGUGUAGAGGUGAAAUUCGUAGAUAUUGGAAAGAACACCAGUGGCGAAGGCGGCUCACUGGCUCGUUUCUGACGCUCAGGCGCGAUAGCGUGGGGAUCAAACAGG
rnacentral:rRNA from 1 species